rnacentral:tRNA from 1 species
AUCUAAAUAGCUUAAAUUUAAAGCAUAAUAUUGAAGAUAUUAUUAUGGAUUUUAUGUCCUUUAGAUA